ACAGGUGACUAGGGGCGAAGGAGCCAGUGCUUCAGACCUCAGAGGCCUCUCUGACUAGGGGGAGGUAUCCGGGCAGGAGAGGUACCAGGGGCCUUAGCUCCUAGUCCUGGA
ensembl:miRNA Mir6396 microRNA 6396